rnacentral:tRNA from 1 species
AGGCGGGGGAGGUCGGGUCAUUCGGGCUGCCGGGGAUCACGGCCCCGUUGAUGCCGCCCGUGCCACCGGCCCCGCCGGC